rnacentral:rRNA from 1 species
CGCGUGUGCGAUGAAGGCCUUCGGGUUGUAAAGCACUUUUGGCAGGAAAGAAAUCGCGCAAAUUAAUACUUUGCGUGGAUGACGGUACCUGCAGAAUAAGCACCGGCUUAACUACGUGCCAGCAGCCGCGGUAAUACGUAGGGUGCAAGCGUUAAUCGGAAUUACUGGGCGUAAAGCGUGCGCAGGCGGUUCGGAAAGAGAGGUGUGAAAUCCCAGGGCUUAACCUUGGAACUGCACUUUUAACUCCCGAGCUAGAGUAUGUCAGAGGGGGGUGGAAUUCCGCGUGUAGCAGUGAAAUGCGUAGAUAUGCGGAGGAACACCGAUGGCGAAGGCAGCCCCCUGGGAUAAUACUGACGCUCAUGCACGAAAGCGUGGGGAGCAAACAGGAUUAGAUACCCUGGUAGUCCACGCCCUAAACGAUGUCAACUAGCUGUUGGGGCCUUCGGGCCUUAGUAGCGCAGCUAACGCGUGAAG